rnacentral:lncRNA from 1 species
GAAGUUUCGUUCUCCAGAUUCGGUACAGUGAGACUACCUGCCGGAGGUGUUUCAGAGCUAUUUGAGGAGCAGGGAUGCCCACGAGUUCCAUCCUUACUUUGUGUUUCCUUUUAGUUAUUAGCGAUGCUGUUGGAUGAGGCUUAGCCGUUUCAUAUGAAAGAAAAAGAAUUUGCUCUUAGGGAUCCGGGAGCAGCAGUACAAUCGCGGUGUUUUUUAUUUUAAAUAGGACUCUUCACAGUGUUAUUUUUGACCGGCGAACCUUCGGGUUCUUUUAAAGUUAUAUUUUUGUUUAUAUUCCUGGGUGAGCGGAAGGGAGAGGACGGGAGGAGCUUCCUGUGUGCCUGCCUGCAGGUGCACCAAUGCUCAGCAGAGGGCACUGAAUGCUGGGGAAACAUGCUUGUGAGCUGCCUGAAGAGGAAAUCAAUCUUUCAGGUUAAAGGGCAGCAAGAGUUCUUAACUGCUGAACCAUCCCUCCAGCCCCUUGUCCCUCUUUGAUCUUUGCUCUGAGGGGGAGGAGAGAAGAAUUGGGGGAUUUGAAACCCUCUUCCUGAACUUUAAGCAACACAUUGAUACCUGCAUGUAUGGCACAACUGAAGCAACAGCAACAUUUCCCUGUCCUGUGGGAAUGGCCUCGCGGACUAGUAAGGCCACUUUCUUGCUCCUAGCACCUUGCAUCUGAUGCUUCGUUCUCAAGGAAAAUCUCUUAAGACUCUCUUCUGGCUGUGGCCAGUUUCUGGAAUCCCUGAUUGGUUUAGUCAGAGCUCGUGGAAAUCACUAUUACUAAUAGGCAUGGGCAAGUACAUGUUGUGUCAUCUGGGACUCUAGCAUUGGAAUUCAUGGGGCAUCUUGUAACAGGAGGCCUGGACUGAGUACUGUAACUGAACUCUGAGGUUCUAACACGCUCCCAACAAGAGUAAUGAUGGAACUGUAGGGUUUAAUCCAAAUGCAAAAUGCCCAUGUGAGGAAUACAGAAAUUAAUCCAGUCUUUUAGAAAACUGACAUCAGCUUGAGUUUAAGUUGAGGAACAAUUUGUGCAGGACCCAGAGGGCUUCCUGACUAAGUGCUGUCAUCUGACUGUGCUAUAGGAGAUCAUCAUCUCAGUUCCUGUUCUUCCAGGUGGUUUGAAGAAGUCCGACUGUUUGAGAGAACCUUCUGGUUCCCUAAUUCUGCCCCUACUUAAGGCUAAAGCCAUGUUGCAAUCUGAAACAUGAGCUUGAGGUCACUGGAUCCUGUUGU